rnacentral:rRNA from 1 species
AUUGAACGCUGGCGGCAGGCCUAACACAUGCAAGUCGAACGAGUGGCGGACGGGUGAGUAAUGUCUGGGAAACUGCCUGAUGGAGGGGGAUCACUACUGGAAACGGUAGCUAAUACCGCAUACCAUCAGAUGUGCCCAGCUGGGAUUAGCUAGUUGGUGGGGUAACGGCUCACCAAGGCGACGAUCCCUAGCUGGUCUGAGAGGAGGACCAGCCACACGGGAACUGGGACACGGUCCAGACGCCAACGGGAGGCAGCAGUGGGGAAUAUUGCCAAAUGGGGGCAAGCCUGAUGCAGACAUGCCGGGUGUAGGAAGAAGGCCUUCGGGUUUUAAAGUACUUUCAGCGGGGAGGCGUUACCCGCAGAAGAAGCACCGGCUAACUCCGUGCCAGCAGCCGCGGUAAUUC